AUUGAACGCUGGCGGCAUGCUUUACACAUGCAAGUCGAACGGUAACAGGUUAAGCUGACGAGUGGCGAACGGGUGCGUAAUGCAUCGGAACGUGCCCGGUCGUGGGGGAUAACGCAGCGAAAGCUGCGCUAAUACCGCAUACGAUCUGAGGAUGAAAGCGGGGGACCGUAAGGCCUCGCGCGAUCGGAGCGGCCGAUGUCAGAUUAGGUAGUUGGUGGGGUAAAGGCUCACCAAGCCAACGAUCUGUAGCUGGUCUGAGAGGACGACCAGCCACACUGGGAAUGAGACACGGCGCAGACUCCUACGGGAGGCAGCAGUGGGGAAUUUUGGACAAUGGGCGAAAGCCUGAUCCAGCAAUGCCGCGUGCAGGAAGAAGGCCUUCGGUUUGUAAACUGCUUUUGUACGGAGCGAAAAGGUCUCCUCUAAUACAGGGGGCUCAUGACGGUACCGUAAGAAUAAGCACCGGCUAACUACGUGCCAGCCGCCGCAGUAA
rnacentral:rRNA from 1 species